rnacentral:rRNA from 1 species
GGGGAAGGGUAGCUUGCUACCUGACCUAGCGGCGGACGGGUGAGUAAUGCUUAGGAAUCUGCCUAUUAGUGGGGGACAACAUUCCGAAAGGAAUGCUAAUACCGCAUACGCCCUACGGGGGAAAGCAGGGGAUCUUCGGACCUUGCGCUAAUAGAUGAGCCUAAGUCAGAUUAGCUAGUUGGUGGGGUAAAGGCCUACCAAGGCGACGAUCUGUAGCGGGUCUGAGAGGAUGAUCCGCCACACUGGGACUGAGACACGGCCCAGACUCCUACGGGAGGCAGCAGUGGGGAAUAUUGGACAAUGGGCGAAAGCCUGAUCCAGCCAUGCCGCGUGUGUGAAGAAGGCCUUUUGGUUGUAAAGCACUUUAAGCGAGGAGGAGGCUACUGAGAUUAAUACUCUUGGAUAGUGGACGUUACUCGCAGAAUAAGCACCGGCUAACUCUGUGCCAGCAGCCGCGGUAAUACAGAGGGUGCGAGCGUUAAUCGGAUUUACUUGGGCGU